rnacentral:misc_RNA from 1 species
AACGCACCUUGCGCCCCUUGGCAUUCCGAGGGGCACACCCGUUUGAGUGUCGUGAAAUCCUCAAAACCCUUUUCUGCGUUUAGCGAAAAGGACUUUUGGACUUGGAGGUUCAAUGCUCGCCUUUGCUUUUGAAAGCGAGCUCCUCUCAAAUGGAUUAGUGGGGUCCGCUUUGCUGGUCCUUGACGUGAUAAGAUGUUUCUACGUUUUGGAUUUAGCACUGUCCCUUGGAUGCCUGCUCUCUAACCGUCUCACGGACAAUGAUGGUGCUCUGGUCACCGCCAUCUACAUUGGCGGGAGGCUGGACCCACAAAAAGAAAACCUUGACCUCAAAUCGGGUGAGACUACCCGCUGAACUUAA